rnacentral:misc_RNA from 1 species
GAUGAAGAACGCAGCGAAAUGCGAUAAGUAAUGUGAAUUGCAGAAUUCAGUGAAUCAUCGAAUCUUUGAACGCACAUUGCGCCCGCCAGCAUUCUGGCGGGCAUGCCUGUCCGAGCGUCAUUUCAACCAUCAAGCCCCGGGCUUGUGUUGGGGAACUGCGGCUGCCCGCAGGCCCCGAAAUGCAGUGGCGGGCUCGCGGACACACCGAGCGUAGUAGCAUCAACCUCGCUCAGGGCGUGCCGCGGGGACCUAGCCGUAAAGCAGCCUUUUCUCAGCACUAGGUUGACCUCGGAUCAGGUAGGAGGACCCGCUGAACUUAAGCAUAUCAAUAAGCGGAGGA